AUCAAAGUGUUUGUGCUGUUAGAGUGGUAUUAGUGUUGUUGUAAGUGUAGUUUUAGCACCCCCAACAGGAGAUUUUGUAAAUAGCAAGUGACGUCACAGGAAGUAAAAAAUCGGUGGAUGUUUACAUGGUGCUUGACGUCUGAUCAUUAUCCACGUCCAUCUGCCUCCAUCCUUCGUCUUUCGUGUUAUCGUCUUUUCACACUUUCUGCAUUAGUAAACCUGUGGACAAAGAGAAUUGUCUUCAGUGUGUUAAUGGAAGAAAGGUGUUGAACCUUGCUGCCGGUCCUCUACUUCGUGGUGAAGUGGGAAAGACAGUACAGUG